UCGAACGGUGAAGGAGAGCUUGCUCUCCGGAUCAGUGGCGAACGGGUGAGUAACACGUGAGCAAUCUGCCCCUGACUCUGGGAUAACAGCUGGAAACAGCCGCUAAUACCGGAUACGAGCUGCGAAGGCAUCUUCAGCAGCUGGAAAGAACUUCGGUCAGGGAUGAGCUCGCGGCCUAUCAGCUAGUUGGUGAGGUAAUGGCUCACCAAGGCGUCGACGGGUAGCCGGCCUGAGAGGGUGACCGGCCACACUGGGACUGAGACACGGCCCAGACUCCUACGGGAGGCAGCAGUGGGGAAUAUUGCACAAUGGGCGCAAGCCUGAUGCAGCAACGCCGCGUGAGGGACGACGGCCUUCGGGUUGUAAACCUCUUUUAGCAAGGAAGAAGCGAAAGUGACGGUACUUGCAGAAAAAGCACCGGCUAACUACGUGCCAGCAGCCGCGGUAAUACGUAGGGUGCAAGCGUUAUCCGGAAUUAUUGGGCGUAAAGAGCUCGUAGGCGGUUUGUCGCGUCUGCUGUGAAAUCUGGGGGCUCAACCCCCAGCCUGCAGUGGGUACGGGCAGACUAGAGUGCGGUAGGGGAGAUUGGAAUUCCUGGUGUAGCGGUGGAAUGCGCAGAUAUCAGGAGGAACACCGAUGGCGAAGGCAGAUCUCUGGGCCGUAACUGACGCUGAGGAGCGAAAGGGUGGGGAGCAAACAGGCUUAGAUACCCUGGUAGUCCACCCCGUAAACGUUGGGAACUAGUUGUGGGGUCCAUUCCACGGAUUCCGUGACGCAGCUAACG
rnacentral:rRNA from 1 species